rnacentral:rRNA from 1 species
GUCGAGUUGGUUUCUGGUAGAUAGCUAUGGUCCGGCCCUUCGGCCUUUGUAUCAGUUGUUAUCUGUCAUCCUAUCUGGGUUGUUUCGGUUUCGGCCGGGCAGUUCAGGUUCUUUUACUUUGAAAAAAUUAGAGUGUUUAAAGCAAGCUUACGCGAUGAAUACAUUAGCAUGGAAUAAUAAUAUAGGACUACGGGUUCUAUUUUGUUGGUUUCUAGACCUGAAGUAAUGAUUGAUAGGGAUAGUUGGGGGUGCUAGUAUUGAGAGGCCAGAGGUGAAAUUCUUGGAUUCUCUCAAGACUAACUUAUGCGAAAGUUCACCAAGGAUGUCUUCUUUAAUCAAGAACGAAAAGUGGGGGGACGAAGACGAUCAGAUACCGUCGUAGGCUCAACCAUAAACUAUACCGACUAAGGAUGCGUGAUCGUUGCAUUUUCGACUUCAUGCGCACUUUAUGAGAAAUCAAAGUCUUUGGGGUCUGGGGGGAGUAUGGUCGCAAGGCUGAAACUUAAAGGAAUUGACGGAAGGGCACCACCAGGAGGGGGAGCCUGCGGUUUAAUUUGACUCAACACGGGAAAACUCACCAGGGCCGGACA